CCGGUUAUGAGUCUUGUCCCGGUCGUGAGUCUCAUCCCGGUUACGAGUCGUAUCCUGGCCACGAGUCUCAUCCCAGUUACGAGUUGUGUCCCGGUUACGAGUCUCAUCCGGGUUACGAAUUAUGAGUUAUGAGUCUUGUCCCGGUCGUGAGUCUCGUCCCAGUUACGAGUCGUAUCCCGGUCGUGAGUCUGGUCCAGGUAACGAGUCUCAUACCGGUAACGAAUCUCAUACCGGUCGUGAGUCUCGUCCCGGUUACGAAUCGUGGCCUGGUUACGAGUCUCAUCCCGGUUACGAGUCUCAUCCCGGUUACGAGUCUCAUCCCGGUUACGAGUCUCAUCUAACAAAGAAGAAGACGUACAUUCAAGUCAGAACAUGAGACUGUGGAGCUCUGACACAGCUUCAGUAAAAGUCGUUUUUAACAGCUGAAAAAUACGACACAGUGUCACAGCGUCAACACAAACACCACAGAGGUGAGCCUGGUGUUAAAAUGUGACUCUAUUAAACAGCAGACUGCUUUAUAUUGUUUAGUAUAAAAAGGCACUCUGGUUUGCAGUGUAUUUAUUUGUGGUCAUGUUCAACGACUUAAGACUCAUUAGUAGUCAAAACAUGUUGAUGUGACCACAGAUAAAGUGCCUCUGACAUCCUUUUUCUUCACUACAAAAAUUCAAGCCUCCUGGUCUGAUGAGCGUCUGUGUUUGUAAGUUUUGAUCCAGUAACGCCAUUUUUUAUUACAUAUUAUUUCUUAAAAAGUCCUGGUAGGAGUUUGAGUCAAUUUGGGAGAGUAACCACUCCUACUGUUUCUGUUACUUGAAUUCGCACAUGCUCAGUACAGCUCUGUCUACAGGCCACAGAACCCUGAAUACUCUGAGAAAAACGCAGUGAGAGUCUCCUGGUUUCUCAACAUCGGGACAUUGAAAGAUCCAGGAGACUGAAACCAGGAUCGUGCGUUUACACGGAUGCUCACAAAACCAGGAUACUCGAUCAGAACCGUGACACUCGAGCGCAUGUAAACACACUCGAUGCUUCCUGAACAGUUAAGGGACAACAUUAAUGAAUUUUAUAUUUAUUUAUAUUUUUAAACAGUGUUUCUAAGGUUGCUCCGAAGAGUGAAGGAAAAGCGAAAGUGGUUCAGAAAGGUGACGCGAGGUUUAGUUGUACGAACGCUGGGGCUACACUUGAGAUAUUAGGAGAGAACGGUUCUAAUCAAAAUGUCUUAAAAACAAAAACAAUACUCGUGCGUUUUCAGUUUCCUGUAUGUUACUUUACCGCUGCAUUUUACCAUCUUCAAAGUCUCUGAGUUUAAAGUUUAAAGUCUUUGUUAUAAUGUUGUUUCCUCAUCACAAACAGACCUGGAGUUUUGUUUCAUUCACGUAUGUUUUAUUAACACACGAAUCCUACAUAUUUAGACUGAGUUCUUCUCUCAAACUGAAAACACUCUGUUCAAACUUGUGAUGUCAUGUUUUUAAAGUCCACACACCUUCACUAGAAUCAUUUGGAUGAUUUUUAGCCUGGAAUUUCUCAUCUCUACUGAACUAAAGGCAGGUUUCGCCAACCUUUUUCCUCCGGUGAGCUCCUUUUACACAACAAAAAUGCCAGAGAGCUUCUCAUUUUAGCGUCCAUAAGAAAAUGAGACGAUAAUAAGAAAGAGGGCGAGUCUUUGGGUUCAGUUAGACGCCUAUAAACCAUAAACCAGACAUGUCAAACUCAGGCCCAAGGGCAAAAUUUGCCAUGAGAUAUAAUUAUAUUUGGCCCGCGAGAUCAUAUCAAACGUGUAUUAGAGCUGGAGACUAUAGAGAUUUAAAAUGUUAUUUUAUAUUCUGCUUGUUCUGGAUUCAAUGUUUAAGCAAAACUAUUAUCAAACAUUUAUUUUAAUAAGAAAAAGUUACAUUACAUACAUUACAUAUCUGGAAAGAAGAGAAAACAUGCAGAUAAAAUUUUCAAUAAAUAUUUAGUUUGGCCCACGACUUAGUCCCAGUUUUUAAUUUUCCAUUUAUUUGUGCAUAAAGUUGGGCUUCGAAAUUAUACACUUAUAAUGAAAAUAAACAUGUAAUUAUACCAACGUGCAGAAUAUCAAAAGUUUGGUUAAUAGGCUCUGUUCACGCUUAUGUCACAAACCAGGAAGACGUUUGGAAACAUGCGAUGAAAACUUCCGGUGUAGUUCCCGAUAGGGAUGGGCAUGAUUAGUCGAUUAAUCGAUAAUUGAUCAUUAAGAAUUUCAUCGAUUACGUUCAUUUUAAUCGACAAACCGAAUGUGGGUUACUGUGUGUAGCGUGACCAAACAGGUGUGUACAUGUGUCUCGAGACACAAACAGUGGGUCAGUCUGUAACGAACCGAAGCACAAAUGUGGAUUUAACGAUGAUUUGUACAAGAAAUUCCACACUUUCCGUUGCGUUGGGGACAAGUGUGAGUCCAUGUGCACAGUGUAUAAAGCAGCACAUAUGUUUCUGUGUCCAGUGGGAAAAAGUUUUACCAGGUGAGAGUCGCUCAAUGUGGAUGACGAGGCCCCGCCCCCCUCCCCCCGUACGCUGUCCUGGUUUUGACAAACACAAAUCUGGUCACACUAACCUGUAUUCACCUGAGUCAUGUCUUUUAAUCCAACAGAAAUUGAACCACAUCAGCGACACAAGAGCUGGAGUUUUAUCUUCGAUUAGUUUAUGCAAAUUAGCGAUGUGGUUUUAAGUUUUGUUUCUGUGAGAUUUGAACAAAACUGAAUUAAACACAUUAUAAUGUCAAACAGGCUGAUGUGGCUCUAGAGUCGUUACGGUUUAUAUGACGUAAAGUUGAAUUUAUUUAUGCAGAUUAUUAGUGCAAAUAGUAAUAAUAAUGAUGAUCAUUUUAAUAUAAAAACGUUAAUGAUUAAUCGAUAAUCGAUCGUUAAUUCUUCCGACGAUCGAUUAAGAAAAUUUCAUCGAAUGCCCAUCCCUAGUUCCCGACACUCGACCGUGAUCAAACCCGCUGAAGUAAAUGUGAUCAGCGGUAAAACAAAGACUGCAGAUGUACGUGCUGUUUGGAAUCAUCUGGAAUUUGGCGCCUCGUCUCUUCUAAUCGCAUGUACCAGUGCACUCGGAGUUGGAAAUGAUGAAAACUGAGGUCUGGUUGUAAUCGUUGAUCCGCCAAACAUAACGAAACGCUACGAUGACAUGGAGAUGGAAAAAAACUGGGACAUUUUCUCAUUUUUACUAGAUUUUGUCAGACUUAUUUCCACAAACGGAGCCCAAAGGAAGUUGCAGUCAUGUUUCCAAACGUCUUCCCGGUUUGUAACGUAACGAGAAUAGAGCCUAUUCCGAAAUCCUUUGGCGAACUACUUGGAAGGAGGUGGAGAGCUCCAGGUUGGAGACCCCUGACUAAUGGUAAAAGAAGGUGUUAACUUAAAAACAACCGCUUCAUGACAUCUCAAGGUGGAACAGAGAAUCUUGAACUUCUUGGGUUCUUUUUAAAAACAAUGCAGUAAAGUGUUGACAUGUUUCGGCUGCUGCAUCUUCAGAACCGUCCCCGGUGUUGUCGUAUAUCGAUGUUGUUACUUCCUGUAGACGUGGUCAGACCUGAUGGACCUGAAGGUCGCUCAGACUGACCACACCUUCCGAAAUGAGGAACGUUCCGUCAUCGCGGUUAAUGCUGUUCGAGCGUCCGUGCCUCGUUUCCUGAUUUCACCGUCCUCCCUGAUCCAGCGUCUGAACUUGAGGUUUUCCGAUCCAAUGACCCGGUGAUAAAAACCCAAGAAGUUAAAGUACAUAAGAAGACAAAGUGAACAUCUUUGGCUUAAUAGAGAAUCUUGAGCUUCUUGGGUUCUUUUUAAAAACAAUGCAGUAAAGUGUAUUUACCUUGUUGACAUGUUUCGGCUGCUGCAUCUUCAGAACUGUCACCGGUGUUGGUGGUGACGUGUUGUAUAUCAGCUGUUGUUACUUCCUUUAGGCGUGGUCAGACCUGAUGGACCUGCAGGUCGCUCAGACUGACCACAAGUCCUGAAAUGAGGAACGUUCCGUCAUCACGGUUAAUGCUGUUCGAGCCUCGUUUCCUGAUUUCAACGUCCUCCCUGAUCCAGCGUCUGAACUUGUUGUUUUCCGAUCCAAUGACCCGGUGAUAAGAACCCAAGAAGUUAAAGUACAUAAGAAGACAAAGUGAACAUCUUUGGCUUAAUAGAGAAUCUUGAGCUUUGGAGAUGUUGACCGACAGGAUUAUUCAAACGUGUGUGAAUGAAACAAAACACAACUCCAGGUCUGUGUUUGAGGAGGUACCAACAUUCUAACACGGCUUAAAGCUCACAAGAGUCAAUGCUGCGAAAUAUAGAACCUUUAAACCUGUCAGAGCAGUGGGCGAGCGCAGAGCAGCGUCUGGGAACCCGAGUUUAGAACCUGAGCACUCGGGUAUCGUUCGUUCAUUCGUUUUUCAAAUAAAACCAAAAAUAAGAAAAUGAAAAAACAACUAUUUUCUUCGUUAUUUGUCUCCAAAACCAAAAUGAAAAAACAGAUAAUGAUUCGUUUUUUUUUCAGUUUUGUGUUUAAAUGAAUAAUGGGAAAAAAAACGGAUAAAGGUCAUUUUCUGUUUUCAUGACUUAAACUGCGAUGCCGGACGUUUGUGCCGCAUACUGACUGAACCAAGACUAAACCGGGACUAAACCGGGACUAAAACAGGUCUAAAUCAGGACUAAACCAGAACUAAAUCAGGACUAAAACAGGACUAAAUCAGGACUAAACCAGGACUAAAAUAGGUCUAAAUCAGGUCUAAAACAGGACUAAACCAGGACUAAACCAGGACUAAACCAGGUCUAAACCAGGUCUAAACCAGGUCUAAAACAGGUCUAAAACAGGUCUAAACCAGGACUAAACCAGGACUAAACCAGGACUAAACCAGGUCUAAAUCAGGUCUAAACCUGGAUUAAACCGGGACUAAAAGAGGACUAAAACGGGACUAAAUUGGGACUAAAUCGGGACUAAACCAGUACUAAGUGUCGGGACGGGCCCGGAGAUGCGUCUGCGUAAACUGUCGGGUAAUCAGGACUGAUCAGGAUCGGAACCAGACCAGAACUGAGAUCGGUUUAGUCCUGUUUUAGUCCUGUUUCAGUCCUGCUUUAGUCCUGUUUUAGUCCUGUUUUAGUCCUGGUUUAGUCCUGUUUUAGUCCUGGUUCAGUCCUGUUUUAGUCCUGUUUUAGUCCUGGUUCAGUCCGGCAUCGCAGUUAUCCAACAACUGAAAAAACAAAUCAUUAUCCAUUUUUUUAUUUUGAUUUUGGAGACAAAUAAUGAAGAAAACGGUUAUUUUUUCAAUUUCUUAUUCUUGAUUUUAUUUUGAAAAAGGGAUGAACGAACGACACACUGAUUCUUUAUCUCCGUCUCUACUAAAUCCUUCCAGACGUUGGGGAAUGUUUAAAGGCCGAUUGUAAGUUUAGAUUUGUUACUUGUGUCGUGCAGUGGAGUUUAAAAACGUCCAAAUGAACCUGAAUCAGUAUUAAAAAGUUAAAACUGUAGGGAAUUAUCUCCAAAGGGAAAGGUGCCUUAGAGGAAACUAUAUGAGACCAGACUUGAGCAAUACACCUCCAGCACCUUUAUUUAACGCAAUUUAUUCAUUAUUUAACCGCUUUUUUACUAUCUCUGUUGUCUUAAAUUUACAUAUUGUGCCGUUUUUGGUAUUUUUGUUGAAGCAUUUAGUCAUUUCAACCAAAGAUAUGGAUCCUGCUGUCUCUCUGUACAUCUGUAUUUGAGGCAUUAACUCCGUGUGCUGUGUUUUUGUUAAAUCUUGCAUGAACCUUUGCCUUUUCAGAAACGAUAUUAUGGAAAUAAAAAUAAAAAGAUGCCUACGUUA